AACGUAGGUGGCGAGCGUUAUCCGGAAUCACUGGGCGUAAAGCGUCUGUAGGUGGUUUAAAAAGUCUAUUGUUAAAAAUUGAAGCUUAACUUCAAAGAUGCAAUGGAAACUUUUAAACUUGAGUAUGGUAGGGGUAGAGGGAAUUUCCAGUGGAGCGGUGAAAUGCGUAGAUAUUGGAAAGACCACCAAUGGCGAAGGCACUCUACUGGGCCAUUACUGACACUGAGAGACGAAAGCUAGGGGAGCAAAUGGG
rnacentral:rRNA from 1 species